UACGGAGGGUGCAAGCGUUAUCCGGAUUCACUGGGUUUAAAGGGUGCGUAGGUGGGCUGGUAAGUCAGUGGUGAAAUCUCCGGGCUUAACUCGGAAACUGCCGUUGAUACUAUCAGUCUUGAAUGUUGUGGAGGUAAGCGGAAUAUGUCAUGUAGCGGUGAAAUGCUUAGAGAUGACAUAGAACACCAAUUGCGUAGGCAGCUUACUACACGAUCAUUGACGCUGAGGCACGAAAGCGUGGGGAGCAAACAGG
rnacentral:rRNA from 1 species